AGUAGAGCAAAACCCAUUUGUUUGGGCGCAGCUUAUUUUAGCGGCUUAACGCGAGUCCUCACGCUUCAUUGCUAAAAUCCACCGUAUGCGCAGUGCGCAUUGACAAGGUCAGCCCAAUCACAUACGUGGAAGGGAAACGAGAGGGUAUGCGCAUUGUGCAUAAGGCGCACAGGUUAGGUAGUGGUGGGCUCCGAUCUUCCCGGCCCUCGUUUCUUUUCUAUUUCAUUUGCCAUCUCUUUGUCCGCUUCAGCCAAGGAGGAGAGUGACUGAGUUACCAGCUCACUUUUUAAUUUUUUAAUAUAUAUCUUUUUCAAAAAUUGUUCUCUAAUAAUCAUUAAAGAAAUAGUAAUUUAUUAUUAAAAUAAUUAUUCCAUCUCUAUUGCUGCUUUUUUUUUUUUUUUAAUUCUUUUUUCUUUUCUGGGUUGCUAUAAGACGCGAGUGCUAAAACUUCUUUCUUCUUUGGCCUCUUCUCUUCUUCUUCUUCCUCUUCUUCUUCAGCUCCCUUAUUUAUCGCAUCUUUCUCUUGUUUUGGGAUAAAGUUUCCCAAGGUACAACAUUUUGCGGCUUAAGAUUUUAGCUAUGUAUCGAAUCAUAAAGAAGAGCAGAGCGUCGCCCGAGUCCCCACCCGAUUCAACUCGGACAUCACAAUUUCCAGAUGAAGUACUGGAGCGGGUUUUGGGUUUAUUAAAAUCGAACAAAGACCGGAGCUCCGUUUCUCUAGUAUGCAAAGAUUGGUACAACGCAGAGAGAUGGUCACGCACUCAUGUCUUUAUUGGUAACUGUUACUCAGUUUCUCCUGAGAUUGUAGCUCGCCGCUUCCCGAAAAUCCGGAGUGUUACUUUAAAAGGGAAGCCGAGAUUCUCUGAUUUUAAUUUGGUUCCAAGAAAUUGGGGUGCUGAUAUUCAGUCUUGGCUUGUGGUUUUUGCUUCAAAGUAUCCGUUUCUAGAAGAGCUCAGGCUUAAAAGAAUGACCGUCAAUGAUGAAAGUUUGGAGUUUUUGAGUCUUAAUUUCCCAAACUUUAAAGCUUUAUCACUUCUUAGCUGUGAUGGGUUUAGUACUGAUGGACUUGCUGCCAUUGCCACUCAUUGCAAGAAUUUGACUGAGCUUGACAUACAGGAGAAUGGCAUUGAUGAUAAAAGUGGCAGUUGGUUGAACUGCUUUCCUGGAAACUUCACAUCAUUGGAAGUAUUGAACUUUGCCAACCUGAAUAGUGAGGUCAAUUUUGAUGCACUGGAGAGACUGGUAAGUAGGUCCAAAUCAUUAAAGGUUCUGAAGGUCAACAAAAAUAUUUCCUUAGAACAACUACAAAGGCUGCUUGCUUGCACCCCACAAUUAACAGAGCUUGGUACUGGCUCUUUCUCGCAAGAGCUUACUGCUCGCCAGUUUACUGAGGUUGAAAAUACGUUCAGCCAUUGCAAGAACCUGGAUACCCUUUCUGGUUUAUGGGAAGCAAUGGCACCAUAUCUACCAGUUCUAUAUCCUGCUUGUACAAACUUGACUUUCCUAAAUUUGAGCUAUGCUGCUUUACAAAGCCUUGAACUUGCUAAUCUUCUUCGCCACUGCCCACAGCUUCGUCGUCUAUGGGUACUGGACACUAUAGAGGACAAAGGGCUGGAGUCUGUUGGAUCAAACUGUCCUUUGCUUGAGGAACUACGUGUCUUCCCUGCUGACCCCUUUGAGGAGGAAAUUAUCCAUGGAGUGACUGAAGCAGGAUUUGUUGCUGUGUCUUACGGUUGUCGGAGACUUCACUAUGUUCUCUAUUUUUGCCGGCAGAUGACUAAUGCUGCAGUAGCAACAAUUGUGCAAAAUUGCCCCAAUUUCACCCACUUCCGUCUCUGCAUAAUGAAUCCACGCCAACCAGAUUAUACUACAAAUAAACCAAUGGAUGAGGCUUUUGGUGCAGUUGUGAAGACUUGCACUAAACUUCAGAGGCUUUCAGUUUCAGGUCUCUUGACUGACCUGACAUUCGAGUAUAUUGGCAGAUAUGCCAAAAAUUUGGAAACUCUUUCUGUUGCUUUUGCUGGCAGUAGUGACUGGGGGAUGCAAUGCGUGUUGGGAGGCUGUCCAAAAUUGAGGAAACUUGAGAUAAGGGAUUGCCCAUUUGGAAAUGCAGCACUUCUCUCAGGUUUGGAGAAGUAUGAAUCUAUGAGGUCACUUUGGAUGUCAUCGUGCAAUGUUACGAUGAAUGGCUGCAGGCUAUUGGCCAGGGAGAUGCCACGACUGAAUGUGGAGGUGAUGAAGGAGGAUGGCAGCGAUGACAGUCAAGCCGAUAAAGUUUAUGUUUACCGCUCUGUUGCAGGACCAAGAAGAGAUGCCCCAUCGACUGUCCUCAAUCUUUCAGGUUUAUAACGUGGGUAGCCUCUUUUUCUCUCCUUCUCCCUCUCUCUCUUUCUCUCUAACACGCACACUCUCAUACGGGGCCACAGACAUUCACAUACUUGCACAGGAGUCGAGUCUAUUCACAGACAUACAGUGCCAAUCACUUGCAAGUCAUAAUUUACCAGGAACCUCAUAGCAUGGAUUGUAUUCUGGUGCUUCCCUUUCUAUGAGGGGAAGCUAGGAAAGUUAAGGGGGCGAGAGUGACUCUUUCCCUCUGAGACCCAGUUGCCUUCCGACCACAUCAAGCGGCAUGUCUCAUUCACGUGGCUGGUUGACUCAGACUAUUCUCUCAGCAACCGUUACUAUUGUAUUCAACAACUCUACUACAGGUUAAACCUUUUUUUUUUUUUCUGAAAAGGUAAAAAAAUAGUUUAACCUGUAGUAAAGUUGUUGCAUAUAGUUAACUGGAACACAGUAGCUUGUGAUCGCACAGAAGACUCUUCACCGACUUCAUGCGAUUCAUAUUUGUUCGCGGAUUGUUAGAAAGAAAAGGGAAACUUGAAAUAUGUUACUGCUGUCUAUUUUCUCCAUACAGCAACCCGUGGACAAUGGAAGCAAAAAGAUACUUUCAGGUAGAAAAAAAAACAAAGAAGAGAAGAAAUCAAAAGUCUAUGCUACAGCUUCAUCUACUUGAUUUACCACGCCCCUGAAAAGCAGAAUUGCAAGACUGCUAAUGCAGUAGUGGAUGAAGCAGCCGUGGUAAUGGGUCAAAAAGGAACCAAAAUCUGUCCCCACUAUGCAUUGCCAUCCGGAUCCAUGAAGCCUGUCAAAAUCCUGCAGCAUGAAGUGUGGUAUGACAAGAGGGUUUUACAUUUGCUUGCCUUAUUCAUUAAAACCAAUAUCAAAGUGGCAAUGGUUCAGGUCUCCUUUUUAAUGAAGCAGGCAAUAUCAGUAGACUCAGGGAUGUCGAAGAUAUCAAGGGCUUUUGCAGCUAAGUAAAGCGCAUCCUGCUGCAUGGUUUGAAGCAUGUCAGUUUCACCAACAUCUUUACCUUCUAACAUGGCCGAAGAAAGCUUUUCUUAAUAUUAAAGAUGGUGGAAGAGAUCCAAAAAGAAAGGAGCGAAAAUUGAAGGCAAGGUUUAUGACUGGAUUUUAUAGACCGAACAAGGAAUAAUACUAGCCUAGUCCUUGGAGAUGGUCAGAUCAACUGGUGCCAUGGAAUUUAGCCAGCUAUUGUUAGUUUACAGUCUGAUGGCAUCAAAAUGGAUGGAUGCAUGUAUAUGCAAGUGCAGUGGACAAAGGAUCAUUUCUGAGCGACGGCUUGUUGGGUGGCAGUGGCAAAGGGGAAACUUGUUUUUGGAUCCACAGUAUCUCGGAGAAGUGGUAUGUCUGUGGCUGAAUGGCUGCUAUUUGCCAAUAAUUGCUUGGUGUGGUUGAUAAAAUGUUUGUCAUUUUGCUUAUAUUUCUGCAUCAUUUUCGUCUUUCUAUUUAUUUAAUUUUUUCCAUAGAUCUUUGAGUUUGUUUUAUACUGAGGUCUAUUCAUUUGCAUCAAUUGGGAAUUAUGCUCUUCCGAGGAAGCUGGAGUUUUGGACUUGAACGGAUUGUUUUUGGGAUGGCUGUUACUAACAAUUAAUAGUUUUUUUUCCAGUGCUUCAGUUUUUAACAGUUAUGUAAAGAAUUUGAAAAUAUUAAUUUAAAUAAUUUAAAUGAAUAAUA